GCAGAUCGGCGGCCGCGGGGAGGUUCGGGGCGGCGCAGCCCCGCGCGGUUGUGGGAUCGCUCCCGGGGGCCGCUCCUCUCUCGGGCACUGGGGUCGCGGGAGACGUCGUCGGGAGCUCGGUUUCUGGAGGCCCUUCCCCACCCGGCCUCUGCCUCCUCCACUCCCCCGGGCUGGACGGAACGGGGCCCAGCGCGGGAUGCGAGAAAUAACCAUGGAUAUGGGUAGAGACAGAGCCAUAUGGAAUGCACACUGCAGUGGUGAACACAUGGCCCAGCUCUGCCAUCAAGGAGAAGCACUCUUUAUAAUAACAAAGACAUGGAAUCAACCUAAAUGCUCAUCAACAGUAGACUGGAUAAAGAAAAUGUGGUUCAUAUACACCAUGGAAUACUAUGCAGCCAUAAAAAAGAAUGAGAUUAUUUCCUUUGCAGGAACAUGAAUGGAGCUGGAGGCCAUCAUCCUUAGUGAACUAACACAGGAGCAGAAAACCAAAUACCACAUGUUCUCAUGUGUAAGUGGGAGCUAAAUGAUGAGAACACAUGGACACAAAGAGGGGAACAACAGACACUGAAGCCUCCUUGAGGGAGGAGGGUAAGAGGAAGGAGAAGAUCAGAAAAGAUAACUACCAGGUACUAUGGUAGCUUAGUACCUGGGUGAUGAAAUAAUCUGUACACCCAACCCUCAUGACAGAAGUUUACCUGUGUAACAAACCUGCACAUGUAUCCCUGAAACUAAAAGUUUUUUAAAAAGUUAUUUAAUAUAUAUAUAUUUUUUUGAGACGGAGUUUUGCUCUUGUUGCCCAGGCUGGAGUGCGGUGGCGCAAUUUCGGCUCACCACAACCUCCGCCUCCCAGGUUCAAGCUAUUCCCCUGCCUCAGCCUCCCUAGUAGCUGGGAUUACAGGCUUGUGCCACCACGCCGGCUAAUUUUGUAUUUUUUGUAGAGACGGGGUUUCUCCAUGUUGGUCAGGCUGGUCUCGAACUCCCGACCUCAGGUGAUCCACCCCCCUCGGCCUCCCAAAGUGCUAGGAUUACAGGCAUGAGCCACUGCGCCCGGCAAAAAGUUAUUUAAUAUUAAUGGGACAAUACUCAUUGCAAGAAUCAGACUUCAAUUGCUAGCAUAAGUAAAUGACAGGCAGGAGAUAUUGAAAAUGCAAUCUUAUAGACAUUCAAGGAGAGGACGCAGGACAUUUCUGUGUCAUAAAUGUACUAUGGAAAAUAAAAAUGAGAAAAAUGGAAAUAAAAUACAAGAAAAGGUUAUGAUAAAUUUCAUAUUAUUUUACCACAAUAAAAAAAUUUUAAUAAAUUAUAAAUGGUGUGAUAUGUUUUGCCUGUGUUCCACCCAAAUCUCAUCUUGAAUUAGAGCUCCCACAAUUCCCACGUGUUGUGGCUGGGACCCUGUGGGAGAUAAUUGAAUCAUGGGGGCAGUUUACCCCAUACUGUUCUCUUGGUGGUGAAUAAGUCUCAUGAGAGUUGAUGGUUUGAUAAGGGGUUUCCCCUUUUGCUUGGCUCUCAUUCUCUCUUGACUGCCACCAUGUAAGAUGUGCCUUUUGCCUUCCACCAUGAUUGUGAAGCCUCCCAGCCACAUGGAACUGUGAGUC
rnacentral:lncRNA from 10 species